rnacentral:lncRNA from 1 species
CUAUACAUGAUCUUGUAGAUAACUAGAGUAGAUUAUGACUUAGUAGUUAGUAGAUGACUUAGAAUCCAUUCUCUAGCUAAUCCGACAUCACCUACAUAUAUGAGGAGUAGUCUAUUUUCUAAUCGCUGUGCUCUUUAUCCCAUGAACUUAUACUUUAUUAUCAUUAUCUUUAUGGUUUACCCCCUGCUAAAGUACGUGACUGUGUGACGAGUUUCUUAUUAGUAAUCAUGUUCUUGCAAGUUUAUCUCUAGUCUAUGCCUUGAUAGAUUUUGCCCCUUUGAUUUAAUUCCAUUUUCUUGAGAUCCCCUAAGCAAAAUUAUAAAUAACGAUACCUGGAAUACUUAUCCUGGUGAAAUGCUACAAUGAGGUGUUUUAUCUGUGCGCUUGCGGAUAGAAUAGAUUAUUUUCUAGAGAGCCUUUACAUUUAUAAAUACCUUUGUACACUCUGGCGCCAUGCUAGGAAUGACAACCUAGUAUCUAAGUGGUGUUAGCUAGUGUCAACAAGCAUUUCUAGCGCCGUUGCCGGGGAUCUAUAGGACUUAUAGGAUCUAUAGGACUUAUAGGACUUAUGGGAAUUAUAGGAUAUUAUAUGAGUCUCUGGAAUAAGUCAUAAAAAGGAACAAAAGGGUAAUAUUAAGGAAAGCCAGAAAAUCAAUCAAGGUUAUUCAUAUAAAAUAUUAGACUAGACUAUAGAGAAAUAAUUGCAUAAAACAGCUACUAAGUGAGAAAUCAUAACAAGGCACCGCUGCUUUGGCAGGUUCACCCUGUUGUUUUUCUAUGUUUAUAUUUUUCUUAUAGGGUAUAACAGGAUUGACUUUGGGUACAUUCAACUCUUCAUCAUCAGAACCAAAGCAAUCAAGAGAAGAAGAAGCUAGCUACCAAUUGCUGAAGCUAUGGCACACAAUACCUUGGAAGAAUUCUCUGCUCCAAGUCUUGACAACAUUCCAACCGGUCCAAGAUUUGCAGUAGAAGAAGGAAUACCCGAGUUUGAGCUCAAGUCAAGCCUCAUCAAUUUGGUACAAGCUACACAAUUCAGUGGAAAGGCACAUGAAGAUGCUAGUGCACACUUGCAGAAUUUCUUAGAGAUUGGAAGCACAAUCCACAUCAACGGAGUUGACAAAGACAUCAUACUGCUUCGCCUUUUUCCAUUCUCACUAGAAGGAAAAGCGAGGAAGUGGUUCUACACUCAUCAAGAUAACAUCAACAACUGGACGAACUUGUCAGAUGCCUUUCUAUCAAAGUUUUUCCCUAUAGGCAAAACAACUGCCUUAAGAGGAAAUAUUGUCAAUUUCCAACAGCAGAAGACAGAAGCCAUUUCAGAAGCAUGGGAGCGUUUUCAAGGAUACAUAUCAGAUUGUCCUCACCAUGGAAUGGCCACAUGGUUACUUAUGCAGACCUUCUAUCAUGGAUUAACCCAUAAGACUCGUGAGUGCCUAGAUGCAUCUGCUAAAGGAUCAUUCUUGGAGCUUACAACUGGAAAAGCAGAGAUACUUUUGGAUAAGAUAGCAGAAAACCAAAGAUGGUUCCAAGAUAAAGCUCAACAUUGUCAUCAAACUGAAGAAAUACCAGAAGAAGUAAAUGCAUUAUCAACUAAGAUGGAAAAUUUGCUCCAUUGGAUUGACCAGAGGGCCAAGUUCAAAGAAGAACAUAGGGCCAUUGAGACAGCAUACAAAUUUCAACCAACUUCGAAUCAACCCAAUAAUAAAGGUAUGAAUUCAGGUAAUACUAUCAAGCAACUUUCAUUAAAAGAGAUAAUUGCUCAACAAACCAAAAUUAAUGAUGAAGUUAAACAAAGGCUAGAUACAAAUGAAUCGUCUCUAAAAGAUAUACACAAUAAAAUGGAUUUUCUACUAACUGCCUUUGAUGAACAAAACACUCUUAAUAAAAGGGUUGAGCUUAAAUUAAUAAAGAUAGCUGCUGCACUGCAUGUUGCUACUAACCUUGAGCAGGUAAAGAAUAUAACUACUAGAGGAGGCAAAGCCACCAGAGAUCCACCAUACCCAAAAGAGAAACAAAGAACAUCAGCACCAGUGCAACCAGCAGUGAUAGAAGAAGAAAGCCCAGUUGGAGCAGAUGAUCUGCCACAACCACCAACAACUGGAGAAAUGAGGAAAGAUUUUUACGACACCAACUAUUUGCCAUUUCCCAGAAGAAACAGAGGACUGCAGUCGGAUGAGCAGUUUGGUAAGUUUGUAGAGGUCAUUCAGAAGUUAUAUGUCAACAUACCUCUGCUCGAUGCCAUACAGGUACCUACAUAUGCAAAGUACAUCAGAGAUAUUCUUAACAAGAAGAGACCACUGCCCACCACUGAGGUUAUCAAGCUGACAGAAGAAUGUAGUGCGGCCAUCCUCAAUAAGCCACCAAAGAAGAAGGAAGAUCCCGGAUGUCCCACUAUUGACUGCUCGAUCGGAAACCAACACUUCAACAAUGCACUUUGUGAUCUCGGAGCAAGUGUCAGUGUGAUGCCAGCAUCAGUCUACAAAAAGCUUGAGCAUGCAACCUUAGAACCAACAUCAAUGUGCCUACAACUAGCGGAUCAAUCGGUUCGACACCCGUUGGGCAUCGCCGAGAACAUUCCAGUCAAGAUCAGAGAUUUCCUAGUACCAGUAGAUUUCGUAGUACUAGACAUGAGUCCUGACUCGAAAGUGUCCAUCAUCCUUGGAAGACCAUUUCUAAGCACUGCUAAUGCCCACAUUGAUGUCGGGAAAGGAGAAAUCAAGUUCAACAUAAACGGUCAAGAAGAACACUUCACAUUCAAACCCAGACCAGAGAGAGACUCUACAGUGAAGGAAGUUCAUGAAAAACCACUGGAGACACCAUCUCCGGAGGAAGGAAACUUAGAAGAUUAAAAGAAAUGGAGGUCCAGCUUGGGGGACCUAAAAAUCCCAAACCCUCACCGGGAGGUAAAUCGGUAUUUACCCGCAUUAUUAAUUUUCUCGUAUUUAAAUUCUUGCAUAAUUAAUUCUUGCAUUAGUCAUAUAUAUUCAUAGCAUAAUUAUAAUAAUCAAAAAGCCCCAUAUAAAUAAUAUUCGUGGUGUGUAACAACCCAUACUUAUUAAUUAUUGUGGAGGCACAAAAAUAUUUUCCAUUAUCAUUUUAAUUAAGUUAUAAUUCUCAUAGAUUUUCCUGCAUUAUAUUUAUUUAUAUUGAUCUUCUAGAAGCAUGACCCACACUCUUUGGGUCCCACAUGUCAUACACUUCACCUCACAAACAUCCCAUUACAUAAUUUCAUCCACCAAUAUGUUUCCACUCACCUGACAUCUUUCCACCGUCCAACCACUACCAACACAACAUUAUUCUGUGUGAGAUCAAAGCAAGGAAGCAAGUGGAGGAGGCACACCCAGGAUUGGCAUCACAAGUGGGCGCCCGCCCACCUAGCAAGGGCGCCCGCCCUGUCCCCUUUUCCUCCUAUAAAAGGCCACCUCCAGCUCCCCUUCUCUUCACACAAACACUCCAGAAAACCACACAAGUUUUAGUUUCCCAAGAAGGAGUUCUUGUAGUGAAGAGAAGAGAGUAGAGAGAAAGAGGAGAGUGGAAGGUUGGAGUUCUUUUGAGAGAGUGAUUAUCACCUAGCAAGUAGUGAUCCUGUUGUCUAAGCGGAAGUAAAAGUUGUUUAGGGAGAGGCUCUACCAAAAUAAAAACUUGUCUUGAACGAUUAACCCCUGGACUACUGACACCCCGGACAGCUGACCACUAACAUUUUAUCUCACAUUUUCCACCAGUUGUGUUUUUGCCAACUUUUGUUUGCAGGAUGUUUAAGAAGGUGAAGAAUGCAGGGAAGGCUCUCAAGAACAUUGGUACAAGGAGUUCAACCCGACACUCCUCACAGCCAUCAGAGAUGAGCGUCGACCCGACACCCACGCAAGCUCCAUCAUCUUCAUCAGGUCAGCAAGUUAAGGUCCUUCUCAAGAUAGGAGACCUAGGACUGAAGACCCGAAGAGAGAAGGAAGUCUAUCAGCAAUUGAAGAACGAAGAUUUCAUUCACACCCCUACUAUCGAUCCAAUCCUACUACGAGAAACAGGUAUGGACACUGAAUUUGAUUUAAUUUUUCAGAUGAUGGGUUGGACAAAUUUUUGGAAUAUAACUGAGCUGGGUUCUCGUCUUCUCACCCUCGAAUUUCUUUGCACCUUACAAUACUAUGAGGGGGGAAUUGUUUUUCGGAUGUUUAAACAGGAAAUUAUGUUAUCCUGGAGAGAGCUGAGCGACCAUCUUGGUUUCUCUUCAAGAUGCAUCCUGAACAUUGACUCCGAUUUACCCAAUUUUGAGAGACACCAGUUUUGGAGAGAAAUAUCUAGAGAUAAUUUUUACAGUCAAGCCCGAACCAGUGACAUGGAACACCCCACUCUUAGGAUGUUCCACAAAUGGCUUGGGUACAAUCUUUUCUAUCGCGAUGAUAUUAGGAAAGUAAGAGUAGGAGAUUUACAACUUUUAUAUGCUGCUAUUAGUAAAGUACCCACUUCACCUGUUACAUUAUUAGUUUCACAUUGGCUUAGCAUACCUAGUCUUCAGGGACCCAUAGGAUGUACUUCACUAAUCACUCGUCUAGCCACUAAUCUUCACUUACUAGAAAACUCAUCGUUGGACUUCAUAGAAGAAUUAAGAAUUUAUCAUGGCUAUGACACAUUUAGACAAGCUCGGAUGUUAAAGAAAGAGGGGAAUAUAAUGUAUAUGCUGUAUGAUGAUAAAGGCAAGAUUCGGUUAUCUAACCCGAACCUUGGCCUCUACUCUGUGCAAAACUUUUUGAUUGAGAUUGCAGCAACACCAGUGAACCAGAGAACUCCACAGCGAGUGGCAUCUGAAAGGAUAACCACUCACCGAGAACGCACUUGGUAUGGAGCUGACCCUGGACCAGAAGAAGCAGCGCACCUGCAUUAUUGCGAUUACAAUCCACGAGUCCUUCGAGACCCAUGGGCUCGUCAUGCGCAACCACAAGAGCCAACAGAGGAGACAUGGCCGGAGAGCCAAGAUCACCAGUGGACAAACCCACCUUUUCAUACGGGCAGGUACUCCACUGAUCCAUAUGGAGCUUCAGGAUCCAGACCUCCGCCCCAAUUUGAUGCAGGACGAUACUCCGACGCCUCCUACGCCUUCACGAAUGACUACUAUCAAGAGGCCGGUGCUUUCUUCACUCGUACCGACAACACCCUCCUCGACAUCCAGAACACGCAAGCAGAACAUGGAAGACUCCUGUAAGAGCAACAAAAAUGGAACCAGGACCAUGCCGCUGCAGUGGAAGAGCUGAGACAAGAUACAACAACAAUGAACGACAACAUCACAACCAUGAUGCGGUUCUGGAACAUCGGGUAAGACCGACGUCAACAUCCAGCUUGGGGGAGUUCCUCCCUAAUUUAUCAAGUAAGUUUCUAUUUGCUCUUCUUAUUUAUUCUAUUCUAUCUUAGUAUUUAAUUUAUAUAAAAAAAUUAUUACUAGAAAACCAAAUAAAUAUUUUCUUGCUUCAAUUUACUGCAUUUUAAUAAACAUGAAAACAAAAUAAAAAGAGUGUGUAGAUAAGUGUGCUGUAUUUUUCUGCUAAGUUUAAUCUCAAAAUAAUAAUAAAGACCAAAAAGAUGCAUGAUGGAAAUGAUGAACAGUUGCUCUGUUUGCUUACUUACAAGUACCUAGCUUUUAUAUUAGAAUUCUUUCAGGAAUUACUAAAACUAAAAUUACUAUCUUUGGGAAGCAUAAAACUAAAGUCUAGGUAAGAGAAAGACAUGAUAUAAAGUUGAGCUACUGUUUAUUUUGUUCCUACUACACUAAGUUCUAGAGAUUUAUUUUGAAAACUUACAAAUCACAUGAUGAGUUCCUAGCAUACAAAACUACCUACCACAGCCAUACUUGCUAUAACAUCUUUUACUAUAUUUACAUUGAGUUUGAUCGAGCUGUGUAGACCCUUAGGAGCUUUUCAUGUGGUUAAAUUAAGAUAUUCACUUGCACACAUCUACCACAUCAUUCAUUAAAAUUGCUAAAAAUAUUUUCACUCACUGUCCCGAAUAUUGUUAUUCUCUCUCUAAAAAGAUUCAAUGCAGAAGAGGCAUGGGUUAUGCAAAAAUAUAUGAGGAAAUAAAAAGGGGCAAGUGCCCGGAACCUCGGAAAAGAAAGAAAAAGAGUGAGACGAGAGGUAAAAAUGGACAAGUGUCCGAAGUAGAAUUAGGGGUAUAAAAAUGCCCACUUGAGCGGAAAAAAUGAACAAGUGUCCGACAGUAGAAUUAGGGGUAUCUACUACCCACCUGAAAAAAAGAGAAAAGAAAAGAAAAAAAAAGAUAGCCCAUGUUCUCCCAAAGCGAAGAUCGAAGAAGAGAAGAGAUAGCAAUAUGAGGAGCAAUGAGAAGUAAGUUAUCACUUAGGCAUUUUCAUCAUCACUAUCAUUUACUUCAUCACACAUGCACAUCUUGAUUUAAUUAUAUGCUGAGUUCCUUUGGAUCCAUGGCUCGAUUAGACAACAUAUGUAUGAGCUGUUUGUCACCCCUAUGAGCUCCACUUAAAUAUUCUAUUAGCUUUAGGUAAGUGAUAUCAUGGUAAGGAUCCACAAAUACCACAUAUAGAGAGACCUGAGAGAAUCAUUGCUGGGAACUCUGAGUUUUAUUUUGAAAACUUAUGAAAAACUCUAGAACAAAGGUGAAGUAUAGGCAAGAGGGAUAGUGCUUGACUUAACUAUUUUGUCUUUCGAUUACUUAAUAUUUAAGUGCAGGUACUAAACUCCAUAACAUUUCACUCUAAUCUGGAAGAAUUUUUAUGUAAAAGCAUGUGUGCCUGUCAGGAAAGAAAACAUCGAAGCAACUCCUGAUCCGUCCGAGUUUAGCUAUUUGCUCAGGGACGAGCAAAGGGUAAGCUUGGGGGAGUUUGUUGACGGUCCUUACGUACUAAAAUUAAUAAUCAAAUAAACAUGAAAAAGGAUCAAUAUGAAACAAACAUCUAGAAUAGGGGUUUUAUCUGACAGAAUUCCACGAGCUUUGGUGUUUAUCUAUUUCUGUAGGGGUUUAUCAGAAAAUAGGGAGAGAAGGCCCACAUGUCAUGUUUACAACGAGAUAAUUACGUGCCGCGCAAUUUUCCUCAAUCUAGAAGGAUCCAGAAGCCACGGGAACGAACGGGACGCGAAUCGGGCUCGGGAGCUGGGCGGCCGCCCACCCCCCUUAGGCGCCCGCCCUGGCCAGGAAGCCAACCAGGACUCUGCUUUGGGACAAUGCUCCACCGACCUAAAGGAUCAAUCUAAACCAUACAAUCUAUGUCGGUUUGAUCCAAUGGCUCACGUUCACUUGAGGGGACUAUAAAACCAGACCCCCUGGCCCCUGGAGGAGAGGAGGAGAAAUCAUUAUUCAGAGGUAGCCAUCAAAGUUAGGGUUUAGAGCUUCUCUCCCACAGAGAAUUAGAAUUAGCUACUCCCUAAUCCUUCAAGUUUAGAGGUUGAUUAGAUAGCAAUUAGAGAAGUAGAGCACUACGCUCUGGAUUCGGAUCUUCGGUAAUAAAGAUUGGUAUUAUUCAUAUCUUUCUCUAAUUCUAUUGUUCUAAUUGCAUUAUGUCUCUAAUUAUUAUGUUCUUAGUUUGCUCUAGUUCUAUAUUUGAUAUAGUUCUAAUUGAUAAUGAGUUUAUGUAUAAGUUUGCAAAGCGCUUAGCUCUUGACGCGAGGGAGUUAGGUGAUAGAUCACAUGUGAGCGUGGUGCUUAGAUGUUAUUUAUCUGCAAAUGUAUCCUAUUGGCCGAGUCAUGUGGUAGUUCGCGAUAGUGACAGCUUCGUUGAUUCUUAUAUAGUCCACCCUCCGUUGAUAGGAAAGGCAGAACCGGUAUUGUGGAGUAAGUCAUGCGAUGUUCUGAUUUACUUUAUCAAUGUUCCUUAUACAUGAAUGAAGAGUCUUUUAUGCUAUACAUGAUCUUGUAGAUAACUAGAGUAGAUUAUGACUUAGUAGUUAGUAGAUGACUUAGAAUCCAUUCUCUAGCUAAUCCGACAUCACCUACAUAUAUGAGGAGUAGUCUAUUUUCUAAUCGCUGUGCUCUUUAUCCCAUGAACUUAUACUUUAUUAUCAUUAUCUUUAUGGUUUACCCCCUGCUAAAGUACGUGACUGUGUGACGAGUUUCUUAUUAGUAAUCAUGUUCUUGCAAGUUUAUCUCUAGUCUAUGCCUUGAUAGAUUUUGCCCCUUUGAUUUAAUUCCAUUUUCUUGAGAUCCCCUAAGCAAAAUUAUAAAUAACGAUACCUGGAAUACUUAUCCUGGUGAAAUGCUACAAUGAGGUGUUUUAUCUGUGCGCUUGCGGAUAGAAUAGAUUAUUUUCUAGAGAGCCUUUACAUUUAUAAAUACCUUUGUACACUCUGGCGCCAUGCUAGGGAUGACAACCUAGUAUCUAAGUGGUGUUAGCUAGUGUCAACAAAGCUGUGUAGACCCUUAGGAGCUUGUCAUGUGGUUAAAUCAAGAUUCACUUGCACGUUCACUCAUAUAUGCUACUUCUACUCCGCAAGUACCAUCCACAUAUAUCCACUCAUUUCCAUCUCCAGUUUUACCCAAACUUAUACUCCUAAUUUGGGAGAGAAUAGCGAAAAAACAUUUUCCUAUCCCUGUUAUUCCCUGUGAAAUAAAUGCUCCAGUUAUUUUGGUUACUACCACUUGCUACAUUAUUUCAGGAGAUGAGUGCUCUAGAAAGAAAAAAAAGAAAAAAAAAGAAGAAAAAAAAUAAAUAAUAUACGAGGAAAUAAAAAGGGGCAAGUGCCCGGAACCUCGAAGAAAAGAAAAAGAAGAGCAUCUCAUUCUCCUCAUAAAGUUUCAAAAGCAAGGAAGGUAUGUAUCCCCUCAAAGAGCAAAAGUAGAAUUAGACUUCCACCACCAUUGUUUUCACCAUUGUUAUCACCAUCAUCACCAUACACCAUUCAUUCGCCACACAUGCACAUCUUGAUUUGGCUUAUUGAUUUGUUUCUUUGGAUCCAUGGUUUGACUAUGCAAUAAAUGUCUUGUAAGUAUGUAUAUUUUAUCUCCCACCUAUGAGCUCCAGAUAUUAAAGCCUUNNNNNNNNNNNNNNNNNNNNNNNNNNNNNNNNNNNNNNNNNNNNNNNNNNNNNNNNNNNNNNNNNNNNNNNNNNNNNNNNNNNNNNNNNNNNNNNNNNNNUCACUAUGCCUUAUACCACAAAUACUACAUAUCUUGAGAGAAGGCAUAUACCAUCACUGCCUUGGUAAGGAUCCAAAAAUACCACAAAAGAGAGACUAGAGAGAAUUAUACAAGGAAUCUCUGAGUUUUAUUUGAAAAUCUGCAAAAACUCCAGAGCUAUAGUUGAUCAAAGAACAAGAUACAUGGUGCUUGACUUGACCGUUCUAUCUUUUAACUGCUCAAGACACAAGUGACGGUUACAAGCCCCAUGGUGAAAGGUAAAAUGAGUAAGUUUUAAGUCUUAACAGUUUAUUCUAAUUCAGAGAUGAGAUCUUGCUUAAAUGCGUGUGUACUUUUAAGGCAUGAAACCACUGUAGAAACUCUUGAGUUCAUCCUUGCUCAGGGACGAGCAAGAGGUAAGCUUGGGGGAGUUUGUUGACGGUCCUUAAGUAUCAAAUUUAAUUAUCAAAUAAAUAAAGAAAAGGAUCCAAAUGCAACCAACACCCAGACUUAAGGUUUUAUCUGACAGAAUUCCACGAGUUUUGGUGUUUGUCUAUUUCUGCAGGGGGUUAUCAGGAAAUAAGGAAGAAAAGGCCUACAUGUCGGGAUUACAUAGAGAUAUCAACCCACCGCGCAAUUUUCUACCAUCUAGAAGACUCCAGAAGCCACGGGAAGGAAGCGGAGCCCGAAAGGGGCCAGGCCCAGGGCGCCCGCCCUGAGGACCUGGGCGCCCGCCCCCCUCUGGACUCCGUUCCGGACUCUCUUCGCACACGACGUUCCACCGACCUAUUGGAUCCAGAAUAACAUAGUACCAUCUCGCCUAUCGACCCAAAAACACAUAGAAGGGGAGGACUAUAUAAGGAGACCCCCUCUGGCCCCUGGAGGAGACAAGAAAUUAUCAUAGAGAUUGAGGGGUGCCCUCGAAGGAAAACCUCUUCUCUAAAUAAUAUUUCUUUUUAGGCUUAGCAACCAAUGUAAAGUAGAAAUAGAUCUUAUAGUUUCUACUAGAUUGAGAGAGAUAGAGUGGAGGUGUGGAUCGGAGGAAGGCCGGCCUGUCGGUGUCUACUCCGAGUUGUACCUACGGGAUCAAGUCUCCUAACCCGAGGCUUGCUUCUAAGAUUCUUCAGUAAUUCGACUUCUAAUACUAGUAAAUUCUUGUUUUAUUGUUCUUUGGUUUAUGAGUUUACUUUAAUCCUCUUCCGGUUGAGUAUUAGAGUAAUCACUUGCUAGCGUAAACGUGGUGUUUAGGCUAGGGUACUCAUAGAUAUCCCCUGACUAGCUGGACCGUGGUAGUAGCGAGGAACGUGACAUUUCUGAGUUACCUUUGUAGAUCACAUCUCGUUAGCAGGACGGGUAGGUUUAUAGGUGCGGGUCGAACAUCCUUUGUGUUGUCUAGAUUCCGUGAGCCUCCCCAAUAGAACAGUAGAUCAUCCUUACCAAGGUUAGAAGGAGACUACGGUUGCAGUCUUCUCUAUACAUCACUCACAUCGAGAGACAUUCUUUGUAGCCUAAAGGGAUAGUAGCAAUAGAUUUGGUUAGUCAGAUGCACCCUUUCUCCCAGUGGUAAAAAUAUAAAUACGAUACUCUGGAAAACCUCCCGGGUGAAAUGCUCAUCGAUAUCCGUGCGCUUGCGGAUCAUUUUCUAAUUGCGUUACCAAAUAUCAACAGCAGGAGCCCCUCCUUCUCAAAAUCCCGCAAUCGGCGCUCUAUCACGAUUGACGGGUGCCACUCGUCGGUGGAAAUGAUCCUCACUGGCAUCAUCCUAGGCGGUGGAAAGCGACUCUACCCCGACAAGUCUCUCCCCUUAAGAACUCAUUUUGCUUCAAGCAUGCAGGAAGAUGUAGGGAGAGCAGUGGCGAAGGCAGUGGCAAGAAUGUGGAAGGGAUGAUAGCCGGACGGAGCCCCGAUAUUUAUAGGCACCCCCUAACGAGCGGAUCCGACAAUCACGGUAACCUCCUCAAUGAAUGCGCCACCUAACGGACCAAUUUUUCUCUUGCAGGACAUUACAGAUUCCAACGACGAAACAGCACUACAACGGUUACCUCCUAAAAAGGCACACCCAAUGGGCAAGAAACGAACCGUCGCGGUCCUUCCUUCUGCCGCAAGGUGAGUUCAGCGCACCCCGCCGCAGGAACCUUGAGGGAGCGUAGACUAGCCCACCGACUGGGUUCGACAGUCGCCCUCGAGUAGCCGAGUCAGGGACACACAGUGAGAGGUCGAAACGAGGCAUACCUCGAGGACUCGCUGGGAGUAUCCAAGGCAAGGACAAGUAGGUCGAGAGGAAUCCCCACGGGGGGAGGCGUCGAUCCACUCGACUCUAUCAAACGAGACAAGUAUCCUCGACCACACUAGCCUAGCUUUAAUGAGAACGCUUCUGGGCUACAGCCAAUAUGUCGACGAAAGCUAGUCGGCAGUCUACCUUGGUGUAUACCCAUGGUAGUAGAUUAUCAGUAGACGGUGCGCAAGCUACGAACUAGAUGGUGAAGCAAGACACGGACAAGGUUUUUAUCCAGGUUCGGCCGCCGUGUGGGCGUAAUACCUACGUCCAACGUCUGAUUGUAUUGCUGUGGAUUGUGUUGAGUUGAGAUGUCCUAGGGGGGUACCUUGCCUCUCUUUAUAUAGUCCAGAGGGCAGGGUUACAGAUCCGAAAACUAAUCCUAGUCGGUUACAAUUGCCAUAGAUAGCACGAUAUCAAUUCCUAUUCUAACCGACUAGAAUCUGGCUUAAUCUCCACGUCUUGUUUCCUUGCAUGAAACUCCGAGCAGUUGGAUCAAGCCUCGAACUGUCUAUUGAUGGGCUAAGCCUCCUGGCCUAAGUCUAGCCGUAAGGGUAUAGGGGUUUAUAACCCCACAGCUAGUCCCCGAGCACCGUGUAUUGUGAUGUAACACGUCGUCUUGAGCUUCUUCGACAAGUAAGGUUUGACGUAUUCAACAACCAGGAAUGUCGUCCGAAAAGUUGCAAUGGUAUUUUAACCAACUUGGAAACCAGCUGCUCAACAUCAACAUCGAUGAAGCAAGUUGUUCGAAUAAUGCAUGGUGCUCUUUAAGAAAAAAGAUUUCUUUCCUGAUGAAGUGUGCCCACUUUACUUUUUAGAAAAGUAUAGACUUCCAAAAAGCAAACAUAUUCACCGCAAGGUGAAGUGUGCCCACUUAGUCCCUGAGCCUGGUAGUAGGUGACGUAGGCACGUGGUGCCAGGGUCUAAAGAGAAAAAUCCACAUAGAAAAUCCAAUACUAUAAUGCAUCGCCAGAUGCAUCGUACCGAUGUAGUCCCCGAGCUUGUUGGAAGGCGAAGUAUGAGCCUUGUAACAAGGUCUAAAAUAUUAGAAUUAUACAAGCUGCUGUUAUGCAUUUGAUUUUUCAAUGCCAAGAUCGUGUUGCACUUUUUGUGUCUGAGAGAACCGAUUAACCAAUCCCUGAGUGCGUCAUGCUCGAGGUUGGGCACAGUCCCAGACUUUCAAAAGAUUAGAUUAAUCAGCCGGUCCUCGAGUAUGGCGUGCUCGGUGGUCGGUGCAGUCAACAGGUUGUCGAGAGGGAAAACUGGUCAACCAGUCCCCGACCAUGUCAUGCUCGGUGGUCGGUACAGUCCCCGAGUAUAUCGAAUGGGAAGAUCAGUAGACCAGUCCCCGAGCAUGUCAUGCUAGGUGGUCGGUGCAGUCCCCAAGAUGUUGAAUGGGCAGACCAGUCGACCAGUUCCUGAGUAUAUCAUGUCUGUCUUGACCAAAAGUUCUACUUUUCUUUUUGAAAAGACUGUAUCGCCGUAUUAAUGUGCGAUGUGACGGAGUAUCCUGCCACAUUGUCAGGCUGUUGCAUAAAAAGGUGCGUCUAGUAACUGUGCAGCUGCUCUUUGCGCGGUCCAAGAAAAGGAAACCAUCAAUUAUACAGAAAAGCCACCAAAUUAACUGCGAUAAUUAUUGAAAACCAAAACGCCGCAGCUGCCGCAAGAUCUACCCACUUCCCCAGAACACGGGAAGUGGUAGAGGUGGGGCUGUUAUUAUAAAAAGCCCAAGGUCGUACCCUUGUUCUUUACCCAGCAGUCAUGUACCAUUGCCUAGCCUUCAUCUUUCUCAGCACCUUCAAACCCCAAAUCUGAGCUCGAAGAUUUCCACAAGAAGGAAAUGGCGAAAAGCGACGCUAAGAAGAGGGCCGACAUGAUGGCCAAGGAGUGGAAGAAGUCCCGGUGCAGCACGCGAUCUCUCAAUGACCUUGUCGAGAUGGGACUCCUGCACAAUCAGGAGCUCGGUGGCUGGAGAGCACCGGAAGGGGAAAGCUACCCCGACCCUCGUGCCGGUGAGAUCGUAGUUUUUGAAGAUUUUUUCAAGAGGGAGUUUGAGAUUCCAGUUCACCCUUUCUUUCAAGGCCUUCUUCUUUACUAUGAGAUCGGGAUUUGUAAUCUGCACCCAAACUCCAUUCUCCUCGUCUCUACCUUCAUUCACUUGUGCGAGGCCUAUGUUGGAAUAGAGCCGCACUUCAAUCUCGUCCGCUUUCUAUUCUGUUAGAGGUAGGAGGGAGCAGUUGGAGGCUCCAAGAUUGCAGGUAGAGUAUACCUCAAUCUGCGCAAUGGGAUGAAGAACCGCUACCUCAACUGCCCAUGGAACACCUCCCUCACCAUGUGGUACAAGAGGUGGUUCUACAUCAGGGAAGAGCCGGGCAGCGCUACGUUCUGUAACGUGGGCUACAUCCCCAAGAAGAGGGUUAGCUAGAUAGACCGUCCAGAAUACACUGGUCAAGUGGCAGAGCUGAUGAGCCUGAUCGACUGGUCCCGCCUAGACGGACCAGGUGUGGUCGGGAACUUCCUCGUGCGACGAGUAAUGCCCUACCAGAGGAGGGUGCACUCAGCGUACAAGUACGCAGGAAGCCAAGACCCGACCAGGAUGCACCGGGACGGUUUGGAGAAGGCAGAGGUCCAACGGUUGAUGAAUGAGUUAUUCAACCUAACUGAUGAUAACUUUGUUUUGAGUGAUAACCGGAUGCACGCCUUCAGCUAGGCCGACCAGCUCCUAAGGUGAAUGAAUAGCUUUGUUUAUCUGUUUUUUAUGUAAGUACGAUAGCCUUUGGACUGAUGACUUGUCACUGUUGUAUUGCAGAUAGGAGAUAUUGACCGGUGCUUGGUGUAUGUAUCACUGGCACCUGGUAUGGACCAUCCUGCAGGGGUGGACCCACUGGCAGAUGACGCUAAUCGGUGUCUCCAAUACACCAGCAGCGAAGAAGACCAGGGCCGACCGGCACCAACCACUAAGGAUAGGGUGGCGGGGAAAAUGCCAAUGGUCGUGGAGCCAUCCCCCACGGAGGCAAUGCCGGCGGAGUCCAGACAGGCCCAGAAGCGUCGCCGACUCGUGAGGAUCGCUAACGACGAGGACGAAGAGGAGGAGACUGCGCCAUCUUUGGUCCGAAGACCGCGCAACCACCCUAACAUCGCGCCGAUCGAUGCUGGUCGGGUAACCAGUGAUCCUCCUGCCCCGCACACCAAGCCAAUAUGACUUGGAGGGGCAGAAGCGGCAGCGGCGGCUGGGAGGACCAGGAGAAGGUUCUUCGCGGCGACGCACAGGAGCUCCGACCUGUGAGUUCUAAAACAUGUCUUCUGUACUUCAGUCAUUCAUUUUUUUGGCAUUUUUGCAUUAUCUCCUUUUUGUUAGUGCAGCCUCGGAUGUUGAUCCGGGCAACGUUGCCGGCUUGGGGACAACCGAGCUGGCAGUUGCCGAUAAGGAUGCCGCCGACCAGACCGACCGCAAGCAACCCGUGGAGCAGCCAACAGUUGUAUCCAUGGUGGAAACCGCCCAACAGGACCCCGCUCAAGACAGAGCCGGGGCGAGGACCCCGACAAGGGGUGAUGAGACGGAGAGGACACCUCCCCCGAGCAGCGUUGCAGAGGAGGGAGACGAGGUCCCGGCCCCUCCUCCUGCUAAAUAAGAGAGGGCCCUGACUCCGGUCCCGGCAGAAGCUUCCACACCAAAGGGCUCCCCUAGCCGCGGUAAGGGUCUGAUGAUACUCGUUACCAUGGCUAGUGGUAGCGGGGAGGCUGCCGAGGCCCAAGCGGCCUCUGAUGAUGAAGUGGAGGAGAUCCAAGGGCGUCCCCACGAUGGUCGCCAACACGUUUACGUGUGGCGCCAGCGUGGUGAGCACUGGGCCGGUCAUGAAGAGCUCGCCGAGACCGAGGAGGCGGCGAGGGUGGAGCGUGCUGCUAAGCGGCUCGUUGAUGAAGUUAAGGUGAGUGGUCUAGUAUUCUGCCAGAGUAUGAAUGUAGUGUUGUUUGUUCACUGUAUGACAUGUAUGUUUCUCGCAGGGUGCAAUGAAGACGGCGAAGUACCGAAAAAGGUGCUUCGACCAAAUUGAAGGUAUAGUCGCCGAGAACUAGGUCCUGACCGCGGAGGUGGACCGCCUUCGGUUGGAGGCCGAGAGGAGGCGGUCGAGAAGGCAGCUCAGGAGGAGCGCCUGCUAGAUCUGAAUCGGUGACUAGCCGACAAGGAUCGUGAGAAGAAGGGUGAGUUGAAUGUUCCGAGCAAUUGCAGUUAACUGCAUGGUCGGUUUUGAUGACUAGCAAUCAUUGUUUCCGGUCUGGAGGAGGAGAUUGGAUGCCUCCGAGAAGAGAGGGAUCGGCUUGACCAGGAGCGUCCCGGUGUGCUGGAGACCGAGCGCAAGGCUGGCGAGGAGUUGAAGAACAAGAGUCGAGAGUUGGCUGGUAAGAGCCAUUCCGCCCUUUUCGCUCGCGCAUUUUCUUUUCUUUUUGUUUAUACUGACUCUUUGCUUGGUUUUCUUGAAAACUCUGUCAUAGUGCUUAAAGUCAACACUAAGAAGCACCUCGACGAGCUGGUCAAGGAGAGGGACUCCUGGAAGACCAAUUGCAUCAAGAUCUAGAAAGGAGUAGCCCCGGUACUUGACCUGAUCAGUCCCGAGCUCCCAGAGGACCAGCCCGCGUGCCGAAGCUAACCCUAGUCAAAAAGGCGCAGCCGGCGUGGGGCUGGCUUCAGCAGUUCGUCAAGGAUGCCAGGGAGUUUGCCGGAGCGCAUGUCCUCAGCAUGGUACGUUCCCACUACCCCCUGGUCGACUUGUCUCGGCUGGAGAGGGGAUAUCCCAAGGAGGUUGGUCCAAAGGAGGUAGAUGACCUUCGUGUCGGCCUGCUCGACCUGUCGUCGACAGUGAUCGGCGAUAUAAAUCUCUGCAGGACAUCAACUCCCCCCGACCAGCCCGGAUCAGACAGGCGGCCAGGGAGUUAUCGGGGGCGUCAAUUGCAGGAGAUGGGCAGUCGACGCCUGUGGUCUCGACCAGCCAGGCGCCGGUGGCCCCGACCCCUUCGGCCGCAUAAGAGAGCCGUGCGGGUGAUCAGCCCGAUCAGUAGGCUUAUUGAGUAGUCUAUAGGAGUAGACUAGAUGCCGCCUAAAGGGGUGUUUAUUGUAAACUUUGUAUAUAAAGUUUGUAAUAAAGUUUGAUUUAUGUGAACCAUGGUUUUGAGCGCUGUAAAUUUGUUUGAGUGAUGUAUCACUGAGUCAUGUUGAUUGCCUUUGAAGAGCUUGUCCUGGAAAGUAAUUGUGGCACUUGUCGAGUAUUCUGCGUAUGUAAAAGUACAUAGCAAAAAAGACAAAUUUUAUUAUUAUUCAUCAAAAAAGAUCUACAAAUGAAAUGCACUGAAACUUAGGGAUAGAAGCGGCGCAGUUUGUCUAUGUGCCAGGAGUUGGGCAAGCGUGUUCCAUCUGGGUACGCCAGUCUUUAAGAUGUAGGGCGUGUAACUUCUUGAGACCACAAAAGGUCCUUCCCAAGGUGUAGAUAACUACUGCAUUCUCUCCUGGCUUGUUUUCCAUUUGAGUACCAGAUCACCGACCACGAAGGAGCGGUCUUUGACGUUCCUAUUGUGGUAUCGCCUAAUGGCCUCGAGAUACUUUGCUGUUCGAAGACAGGAAGUCAAGCGCCUCUCUUCCGUACAAUUGAUUUCGAGCUCUCUAGCGAGGUUGGCUGAAGACUGGUCAAAUUGUUUGACUCUUGGAGAUCGAAAGGCUACGUCCGAGGGAAGCACUGCCUCGGCCCCAUAAACCAUAAAAUAUGGCGAUACACCCGUGUUCCGACUGGGCUGUGUUCGAAGUCCCCAGACCACAGCUGGUAACUCUUUCAGCCACCGCACUGGUGCCUUGUCGUUUUCGGUAUACAAUCUCUUUUUUAGAGCAUCAAUAAUCAUUCCAUUUGCUCGUUCGACUUGGCUGUUGGCUCGCGGAUGGGCUACCGACACAUACUUUAUGACUACGCCUCUGUCAUCACAGAAGUCCCAGGAUGUAGUGCUGGUGAACUGGGUGCCUAGAUCAGCGAUAAUGCUGUUGGGAACCCCGAAUCUAUGUAUGAUUUUAUUAAGUUAUUCCACGGCCUUCUCGGAAGUUGCUUUGACCAAUGGCAUGUACUCGAUCCACUUCGAGAACUUGUCGAUUAGUACGAACACUAAUUUAAAACUACCGGGAGCCGGUUUGAAUGGCCCGAUCAUGUCGAGGCCCCAACAGGCGAAUGGCCAGGAUGACGGAAUCGUCUGGAUCUCGUGAGCAGGUACGUGGGUCCGCUUGGCGAAGAACUGGCAUCCUUCACAAUGUCGGACCAGUUUCUCGGCGUCGGUGACUACGGUUGGCCAGUAAAAACCUACUCGGAAGGCCUUCCCGACAAGUGUUCUGGAGGCGGCGUGGUUGCCACAGGACCCAGCAUGUAUGUCAUCUAGAAACUUGACGCCAUCAUCUUUGGAUAUACAUUUCAGCAAGACUUCUGAACUUGCGUUCUUACGCAUAAGUUUGCCACCGACCAGUAUGUCAUUUUUGGAUCGCCGAAUAAGACGCUCGUUCUCUGUUUUGUCUUGAAAUCCCGAACCGUCCGAGAGAUACUUGAUGAAAGGAGUGCGCCAGUCGUGGCUGCUGGUUGUCGGAGUGGUAUCGUCUAUGAGCAUUGUUUCGUUGGGUGGCUUGUCGACCAGGUCCGUGCCGAUGCUUGGCGGGUGAAUGUCCUGAACGAAAACGCCUUGUGGAAUCUGGGCUCGAGAUGAUCCUAUCUUCGACAACGCAUCUGCUGCUUGAUUCCUGUCCUAGACCACAUGGAUGUAUUCUAUGUCGUAAAAAUUGGAUUCCCACUUCCAAAUUUCUUUGCACUAGAGGUCCAUCUUCUCGUGAGUUGUGUCCCACUCCUUAUUUAGCUGGUUGAUGACUAGGGCAGAGUCACCGUGGAUGUAAAGGCAUUUUGUUGACGGUCCUUAAGUAUCAAAUUUAAUUAUCAAAUAUACAAAGAAAAGGAUCCAAAUGAAAUCAACAUCCAGACUUAGGGUUUUAUCUAACAGAAUUCCACGAGUUUUGGUGUUUGUCUAUUUCUGUUGGGGGUUAUCAGGAAAUACGGAAGAAAGGCCCACACGUCAGGAUUACAUAGAGAUAUCAACGUGCUGCGCAAUUAUCUUACAUCUAGAAGACUCCAGAAGCCACGGGAAGGAAGCGGAGGCCGAACGGGGCCUGGCCCUGGGCGCCUGCCCAGGAGACCAGGGCGCCCGCCGACCUCUGGAGUCCAAUCAGGACUCUCUUUUGGGAAAGCUCUCCACCGACCUAAAGGAUCAAGGAUAACCGUUCAAUCAAUGUUGGUUUGAUCAACGGCCCAUAUUCACUUGAAGGGACUAUAAAACUAGACCCCCUGACCCCUGGAGGAGGGAGCCUCUCAACCCUAAUUCAUUAUUCCUCAAGGGAGAAGAAGCCUCUGAUCAAGAUUAGAGCCACCACAUCAAUUAGACAUCUAGAUUAGCAUAGCUACAUAGGAUUAGAACUAGAAGGAGUCAAUCUUCGAUUGGUUUCCGGAUCUGUCAAGAGGAUUCUUGGUAAUUCUCUAAUUGUGCUUCUAAUUGUUCGUCUAAUCAUCUUUGUUCUUCAAUAUUAUGAAUGUGACAGCUUCAUUGAUUCUUAUAUAGUCCCCCUCUCGUGUAUUGGGCUGGAAGAGCAAUAUUAUUACACGAGAGUGAUUGCUAUGUUUCUCAUUUACCUUGCUAAUAUCACUAUGCAUGGGCGUAGUUUUGUCUCGCAAUGCUUCCUAAGUAUGCUUGCACUAACUAUGAUAAUGCUAGACUAUAUAGUUGAGAAUAACUUAGGAAAUAUUCUUGUAGUUCGUUCUAAUACCGUGCGAAUGACUUUCUAGAGUAUCUAAUUGAGGUGCUUAUCAUAUUUAUUAUGUGGCUAAGUUAUGCUGAUCAGAUUAAUUAUCUUUAUCACUAUUUAUUACUUCAUAUAUCUUUUAUGUGACACUUACCCCUGCAUGAAAGAAUUAUAUAAAUGUUCUCAAUUAUACAUGUAAUGAUAAACACUCAAUCUCAUAUUCCAUUCCGUAAUCAAUAUUGAUGAUUGUUAAUCCCUUCCCAGUGGUAAAAACAUAAAUAACGAUACCUGGAAUACUUCCUGGUUAAAAUGCUACAUCGGUAUUAAUCUGUGCGCUUGCAGAUCCCAUUCAUUAUUUAUUUAGAAGAGCAAUUGCAUAUUUCAAUACCGCGUCUCUUAUGUCAUGCUGGGGAUGACAACUUGGCUUAAGUGGUAUGAGGGAUAGGUUUGGCAUUUUUGGCACCAUUACUAGAAUUAGAAAAUUGUCUACUUUUGGUAAUGAUGUUAAGAAUACCCAACAAGCAUUUUUGGCGCCAUUACCGGGGAAGGUUGAUUAAUAAUCAGGAAUGAAUAAAGGAUUUUGGGUUAUCAUUCGCAUCACUAAUAUGAUUGAGCUUAUCAAUUCUCUCAUACAGUUUUACCUCGAUAUUUCUCUAUUUUUAUCUUAUGCAGGGGAAUGUAUGAAUAGAAGACAUCUUCCAGGAAAUUUUGUUGACAAUCCCGAAGCUUUAUUCAGAAAAACUAGAGCCAAGCUCAAGAAGAGAUCAUCAACACUUCACCAAGAAGCUUGAUCCAAUCAAGAAGAUCACUGGAACUUGUCUUCAGAGUUUGAAGCCAUGGCGAACAAAUCGAUCCGCUAGUUCUCAGCUCCCACUAUGGACAACAUCCGCACCGGACCUGCUGCAGAGAUCGAUGGCAACUUUGAGCUCAAGCCUGGACUUAUCAACAUGGUGCAAUCCAACCAGUUCUGUGGGAAGGCACACGAAAAUGUUAGUGCUCAUCUCCAACACUUCCUAGAGAUUUGCAGCACAUUUACCAUAUCAGGAGUCCCCAAAGAUGCUAUACUACUUUGCAUUUUCCCAUUCUCACUGUUAGGAAGAGCGAAGCAGUGGUUCUACACUACAAAGGAGAAGAAUACUACGUGGGCACUCUGCUCAACAAACUUCCUGGCUAAGUUCUUUCCCAUGGGCAAGACCAAUGCUCUCCGUGGGAAGAUUACAAGUUUUCAGCAACAAAAUGAUGAAUCUGUUCUAGAAGCAUGGGAGCGCUUCCAAGACUACAUCCUAUAAUGUCCCCAUCAUGGAAUGGAGAGCUGGCUACUAAUGCAGAUAUUUUAUCAUGGGCUCGGCAACAGUGCCCGAGAGACCAUGGAUGCUGCAGCUGGAGGAGCAUUCCUAUCACUCACCAUAUCACAAGCCACAGCUCUUGCGGAGAAGAUGGCGUCCAAUCAAUGCUGGAAUGAAGAAAGGACCCAGACACGCAAGAGAGGUGGAGGUAUGCAUCAGCUCAAGGAGGUAGACAUGUUGUUUGCAAAGCUAUACCUGCUCAUGAAGAAGCUCGAUGAUAGAACUGGAGAUAAGAAAGAAGCUAUGCACAUCUACGACUCUCACAUGACUUGUGAGGAGUGUGGAGACACUGGACACUUAGGCAAUUACUGCCCUGAGAUGCUUGAGGAUGUGAACUACAUCAACAACAACAACUACUACUACUACAACCGUCCUCGACAAAAUCAAGGUUGGAAUCAACAGAGGUCUAACUACUCAGGUAAUUAUCAAGGUAAUAAUUCUUACAAUAAUACUAAUAAUUUUCCACCUUCGAGAGAGUUAGUGUCUAAUCAAGGAAAGCUAAUGGAUAACCUAUCUAAGAAAUUGGCAUCUAAUGAUAAAAUGCUAGAAAAUAUAAAUAAUAGAAUGGAUAAUUUCUCUACAGCCAUCAAGAAUCAAAUUAGCUUUAAUAAAAUGAUUGAAUCUCAGUUAAAUCAAAUAGCUGCUGCUGUUUCUACUACUAACCCCGGUAUACCAUCACAACCGGAAGGAUUAGAAUCUGUAAAUCUUGUAGACAUGUUUGAUGCAGGUAACUACUGGAGUAACCCCAUCACUGAAGUUACUACUGACCUUCUGUCAGUCAAGAGAGGCGAUCCAGGGCGCCCCGUCAUCCCGAUCUCCAUCGGCAUGGUGGACUUCCCAGAAGCACUUUGCGACUUUGGCUCUAGUGUCAACAUUAUGCCACAGGGUACUCUAUGAAAAAAUUCUUUAAGUGCGCCGCGCACGGGAUUAUGCUAACACUUAAUCAGUUCCACAAAGCUUUGUUGUCUAUUUGAGCUUCACAGAAUUUAAGAAUCGAGAAGACUAGCAGACGGAGGACAUUCUAAUCGCUGUCAGAAUGCUGCUGACUUUCAAAUACACUUCUGCCACCUGCUAGCUACAUCAAGGGAAAUUACGUCAAAAUCCAGCUUGGGAGAGAGCACCCCCAUUUAUCCCAAUAAGUAUUUCUAUCUAUCUUUAUACUUUUACUAUAUUAAAAUAUAAAUAUACAUAAUUAUGGAAAACCAAAUAAAGAUUUUAUGCUUAUAUAUAUAUAUAUAUAUAUAUCUUUUGCUUAGUUUAAUAAAUAAAUAAAGUGGCUAUGCUAAUCUGAAUCUUAAUAAUAAAACUCUAGCAUGGAUAUGAUGAAUAGUUGCUCUGCCUAAUUUUAAAAUUUUGAAGUCCUCUCUCAAGUUUAGACAUAACUGUUAUAAUUUAAAGCUUGCUCUAAACCUAAACUUGUGGGAAGAAAACUUGAUCUGAAGUCUAAGUUGUUAACGGAUAUGAUAUGGGAAGGUUGAGCUGCUGUUUAUCUGUUCCUAGAGAUGCUAGAAUUCUGGAGAAUUUUAUCUUUGAAAAAUAUUUAUAAUGUUGCAUGAUGAGUUCUGUAUGAUGAGAGUUUAAAUUCCUACCACAGCCAUAUAUACAUGCUUGCUAGACUUUGAGCCACACAUUUACUAUUUACUGCUUAUGAACAUUGAGUGUGGUCAAGCUGUGUAGACCCUUAGGAGCUUAUCAUGUAGUUAAAUCAAGAUUCACUUGCACGUUCACUCACAUAUGCUGCUUCUACUCUAGAAGUACCAUCCACAUAUAUCCAUCCAUUUCCAUCUCGAGAACCACCCAAAAAUAUUCUACUCCUAAUCCGGGAGAGAAUAGCCAAAAAUAUUUCUGUUUUUCCAUGUGAAAUAAAUGCUCAAGUUGUCUUGUUACUACCACUUGCUAUAUUAUCUCAAGAGAUGAGUGCUCUAAAAAAAGAGAAGAAAAAAGAGAUAUGAGGAAAUAAAAAGGGGCAAGUGCCCGGAACCUCGAAAGAAAAGAAAAAGUGAGACGAGAGGUAAAAAUGGACAAGUGUCCGUCAGUAGAAUUAGGGGUACAAGAUGCCCACCUGAGAGGAAAGAAAAAAAAGAAGAGCAUCUCAUUCUCCUCACAAAGUUUCAAAAAAGCAAGGAAGGUAUGUAUGCCCUCAAAGAGCAAAAGUAGAAUUAGACUUUCACCAUUGUUAUCACCAUCAUCACCAUACACCAUUCGUUCGCCACACAUGCACAUCUUGAUUUGACUUAUUGAUUUGUUUCUUUUGAUCCAUGGUUUGACUAUACAAUAAAUAAUGUAAGUAUGUAUACUUUAUCUCCCAUCUAUGAGCUCCAGAUAUUAAAGCCUUAUUAGAGUAGGGUGAGAGAGAAGGCAAUGUUACUAUGCUUUAUACCACAAAUACCACAUACUAUAUAGUUUUGAGAGAAGGCAUAUACCAUCACUGCCUUGGUAAGGAUCCAGAAAUACCACAAAAGAGAGAUUUGAGAGAAUCAUACAAGGAAUCUCUGAGUUUUAUUUGAAAAUCUGCAAAAACUCCAGAGCUAUAGCUGAUCAAGAAUAAGAGACAUGGCACUUGACUAGACUGUUCUAUCUUUUAACUACUCAAGACAGAAGUGACGGUUACAAGUCCCAUGGUGAAAGGUAAAAUGAAUAAGUUUUAAGUCUUGACAGUUUACUCUAACUCAGAGAUGAGACCUCAUUUGAAAGCAUGUGUACCAUCAAUUUUUAAAGAUAUUGCAACAACUUAUGAUCCAUCGCUGAGUCUAUCCUUGCUCAGGGACGAGCAAGAGGUAAGCAUGGGGGAGUUUGUUCAUGGUCCUUAAGUAUCAAAUUUAAUUAUCAAAUAAACAAAGAAAAGGAUCCAAAUGAAAUCAACAUCCAGACUUAGGGUUUUAUCUGACAGAAUUCCACAAGUUUUGGUGUUUGUCUAUUUCUACAGGGGGUUAUCUGGAAAUACGGAAGAAAGGCCCACACGUCGGGAUUACAUAGAGAUAUCAACGUGCCGCGCAAUUAUCUUACAUCUAGAAGACUCUAGAAGCCACGGGAAGGAAGCGGAGGCUGAACGGGGCCUGGCCCUGGGCGCCCACCCAGGAGACCAGGGCGCCCGCCCACCUCUGGAGUCCAAUCAGGACUCUCUCUCGGGAAAGCUCUCCACCGACCUAAAGGAUCAAGGAUAACCGUUCAAUCAAUGUCGGUUUGAUCCAACGGCCCAUAUUCACUUGAAGGGACUAUAAAACCAGACCCCCUGGCCCCUAGAGGAGGGAGCCUCUCAACCCUAAUUCAUUAUUCCUCAAGGGAGAAGAAGCCUCUGAUCAAGAUUAGAGCCACCACAUCAAUUAGACAUCUAGAUUAGCAUAGCUACAUAGGAUUAGAACUAGAAGGAGUCAAUCUUCGAUUGGUUUCCGGAUCUUCGAUUGGCUUCUAAUUGUUCUUCUAAUCAUCUUUGUUCUUCAAUAUUAUGAAUAUGACUUUGUUCUACUUCAAUAUAUUGCUUAUGACUUUGCUCUACUUGUUUAUAUUCAAGAUUAUAUUGUUCUUAGUUUAUCAUAGUUAUGUACUUGGCUUAGUUAGAUUGGAUCUAUAUACAUGCUUAGGAUCGUAUAGCGUUUAUCCAUCGGAUCCAUGGGUAAAUGAUAGAUAUUGUGUAGGCGUGGUGCUUAUGCUAUAUUUAUCUGCGAUUGUACCCAAUAUGCCAGAUCGUGAGGUAGUUCGUGAUAGUGACAGCUUCAUUGAUUCUUAUAUAGUCCCCCUCUCGUGUAUUGGGCUGGCAGAGCAAUAUUAUUACAGAGGAGUGAUUGCUAUGUUUUCAUUUACCUUGCUAAUAUCACUAUGCAUGGGCGUAGUCUUGUCUCGCAAUGAUUGCUAAGUAUGCUUGCACUAACUAUGAUAAUGCUAGACUAUAUAGUUGAGAAUAACUUAGGAAAUAUUCUUGUAGUUCGUUCUAAUACCAUGCUAAUGACUUUCUAGAGUAUCUAAUUGAGAUGGUUAUCAUAUUUAUUAUGUGGCUAAGUUAUGCUGAUCAGAUUAAUUAUCUUUGUCACUAUUUAUUACUUCAUAUAUCUUUUACGUGACACUUACCUCUGUAUGAAAGAAUUAUAUAAAUGUUCUUAAUUAUACAUGCAAUGAAAAAUACUCAAUCUCAUAUUCCAUUCUGUAAUCAACUUUGAUGAUUGUUAAUCCCUUCCCAGUGGUAAAAAUAUAAAUAACGAUACCUGGAAUACUUCCUAGUUAAAAUGCUACAUCGGUAUUAAUCUGUGCGCUUGCAGAUCCCAUUCAUUAUUUAUUUAGAAGAGCAAUUGCAUAUUUCAAUACCGCGUCUCUCAUGUCAUGCUGGGGAUGACAACUUGGCUUAAGUGGUAUGAGGGAUAGGUUUGGCAUUUUUGGCACCAUUACUAGAAUUAGAAAACUGUCUACUUUUGGUAAUGAUGUUAAGAAUACCCAACACGUUUGACUCCCAGUUCGACAGCCAAUUGCAUGCCAUGCAAGCAAGCUUCGUAUUCGGCGACGUUGUUGGAUGCUGGAAAGAGGAUCCGAAGGACGUAACGUAGUUUGUCCUUGUUUGGUGAGACGAAAAGUAUUCUGGCACCAGCUCCAUUGAUGUUGAAGGAUCCAUCGAAGAACAUUGACCAGUGGUCGGAGACAUCUGGGGAGGGGGGCUCGUUGAGAUCCGUCCAUUCUGCGAUAAAGUCGACCAGGGCCUGAGACUUGAUGGUGGUGCAACUCUGGAAAUCUAAAGAAAAUGGGCAUAACUCCAUUGCCCACUUUACAAUUCUUCCGUUGGCCUCUUUGUUGCGCAAAAUGUCCCCUAAUAGAAAACUGGUAGUAACUAACACCCGAUGGCCGUCGAAGUAGUGCUUCAGCUUUCUUGAGGUGAUUAGGAUGGCGUAGAUUAGUUUUUGUAUCUGAGGAUACUUGGUUUUGGAUUGGUUUAGUACUUCGCUUAUGAAGUAUACGGGCCUCUGGACUUUGUAGACGUGCCCUGGUUCCUCCCGCUCAACCACAAGCGCCGUGGAGACGACCUGAUCAGUUGCUACUAUGUAAAGUAGCAGGUCCUAAUUAGGUUGGGGUGCGGUGAGGACGGGUGGUGAGGUAAGGAAAGUUUUGAGCUGGGUGAACGCAGCGUUAGCCUCUUCUAUCCAGGAGAAUUUUUCCGAUGCUUUUAGCAGUUUGAAAAAGGGGUGGCCUUUUCCCCCCAGCCUAGAGAUGAACCGGCUGAGAGCAGCCAUGCAUCCGGUGAGCUUUUGAAUGUCUUUGACGUUCCUGGGUGGUCCCAUAUCGAGCACUGCCUUAACUUUUGAAGGGUUCGGCCGUAUGCCGUCAUGGCUGACGACGUUGCCGAGCAGUAGACCAGAGGGGACCCCAAAGAUACACUUUUUGGGAUUGAGCUUCCACUUGUAUAUAUUUAGCGCUUUAAAAGUGCGAUCCAAGUUGUCGAUCAGGGUGCUCGCAUCCCUAGUUUUGAUGACAACGUCAUCAACGUAGGCCUCGACGAGGUCGUCACGUAUCUCGUCGCAGAGGCAUUGCUGAAUAGCGCGUUGAUAGGUGGCCCCAGCGUUUUUCAGUCCAAAGGACAUGGUGGUGUAACAAUAUGCGACAAAAGGAGUGAUGAAGGAAGUUUUGAUUUGGUCGUCUUCCUUUAGUGAGAUCUGGUGAUAACCAGAGUAACAGUCAAGAAAAGAGAGGAGUUCGCAUCCGGCCGUUGAAUCGACCACCUCGUCGAUACGUGGGAGACCGAAAGGAUCUUUAGGACAGUGUUUAUUGAGAUCAGUGUAAUCAACACACAUUCUCCAUUCAUUAUUCUUUUUUCUUACAAGGACCGGAUUGGCAAGCCAAUCGGGGUGAUACACUUCCUUAAUAAAUCUGGCUGCUAAAAGUCGUUUAAUUUCUGUCCUAAUAGCCUUCUUUUUGUCAUGAGCGAACCGUCGCAGCUUCUGCUUGAUAUGUCUUGCAGUCUUCGAGACGAUUAAGGAGUGCUCGAUCAGGUUUCUUGAGACACCGGGCAUGUCUGUGGGUUUCCAUGCGAAAAAGCUUACGUUGUCCCUUAGAAACCUAACGAGCGCGUCUUCCUAUUUGGCGUCCAGGUUGGCCCCAAUGAGAGCCGUCUUCUCUAGGCUGCCGUCGACCAACUGUACUUCCUUGUGCUCUUUGGACUUAGAGCUUUUCCUAGGAAUCUUCUGCUCGGGUAUUCGGAUCUGGUCGGAGGGAAUUUGUGUGGCUUGAGCUACAGUUUUUGCCAUAUGAAUCGAGAGAUCGAUUGCCUCAGUGAUCUUGAAGCUUUCCUCCUCGCAAAUGUAUACGGUGUAGACGUUGCCUCUAACGGUUAAGACGCCCUUCUCUGUUGGCAUUUUGAGGACCAGGUAUGAGUAGUGUGGAACUUACAUGAAUUUGGUCAGCGAGGGGCGGCCUAGAAUUGCGUGAUAGGUUCCGUCGAAGUCAGCGACCACAAAGUUGACGAACUCUGUGCGGAAGUGGUCUGGCGUUCCAAACUAGACGGGCAGCGUUAUCUGUCCAAGGGAUACUGAACUUUGACCCAGUAGGACGCCCCAAAACUGAGCGUCAUACGGCUUCAGUUGUGGACAAGGAUGUCAAUAGAGCUACCCCCGUCAACGAGCACGCGCUCGAACCUAACGCUGUUGAUGCACGGGUCCAGGAUCAGAGGGAAACACCCUAGUUCUGGGAUGGCGGCCCACUGGUUUGGCAUUUUUGGCACCAUUACUAGAAUUAGAAAAUUGUCUACUUUUGGUAAUGAUGUUAAGAAUACCCAACAAGCAUUUUUGGCGCCAUUACCGGGGAAGGUUGAUUAAUAAUCAGGAAUGAAUAAAGGAUUUUGGGUUAUCAUUCGCAUCACUAAUAUGAUUGAGCUUAUCAAUUCUCUCAUACAGUUUUACCUCGAUAUUUCUCUAUUUUUAUCUUAUGCAGGGGAAUGUAUGAAUAGAAGACAUCUUCCAGGAAAUUUUGUUGACAAUCCCGAAGCUUUAUUCAGAAAAACUAGAGCCAAGCUCAAGAAGAGAUCAUCAACACUUCACCAAGAAGCUUGAUCCAAUCAAGAAGAUCACUGGAACUUGUCUUCAGAGUUUGAAGCCAUGGCGAACAAAUCGAUCCGCUAGUUCUCAGCUCCCACUAUGGACAACAUCCGCACCGGACCUGCUGCAGAGAUCGAUGGCAACUUUGAGCUCAAGCCUGGACUUAUCAACAUGGUGCAAUCCAACCAGUUCUGUGGGAAGGCACACGAAAAUGUUAGUGCUCAUCUCCAACACUUCCUAGAGAUUUGCAGCACAUUUACCAUAUCAGGAGUCCCCAAAGAUGCUAUACUACUUUGCAUUUUCCCAUUCUCACUGUUAGGAAGAGCGAAGCAGUGGUUCUACGCUACAAAGGAGAAGAAUACUACGUGGGCACUCUGCUCAACAAACUUCCUGGCUAAGUUCUUUCCCAUGGGCAAGACCAAUGCUCUCCGUGGGAAGAUUACAAGUUUUCAGCAACAAAAUGAUGAAUCUGUUCUAGAAGCAUGGGAGCGCUUCCAAGACUACAUCCUAUAAUGUCCCCAUCAUGGAAUGGAGAGCUGGCUACUAAUGCAGAUAUUUUAUCAUGGGCUCGGCAACAGUGCCCGAGAGACCAUGGAUGCUGCAGCUGGAGGAGCAUUCCUAUCACUCACCAUAUCACAAGCCACAGCUCUUGCGGAGAAGAUGGCGUCCAAUCAAUGCUGGAAUGAAGAAAGGACCCAGACACGCAAGAGAGGUGGAGGUAUGCAUCAGCUCAAGGAGGUAGACAUGUUGUUUGCAAAGCUAUACCUGCUCAUGAAGAAGCUCGAUGAUAGAACUGGAGAUAAGAAAGAAGCUAUGCACAUCUACGACUCUCACAUGACUUGUGAGGAGUGUGGAGACACUGGACACUUAGGCAAUUACUGCCCUGAGAUGCUUGAGGAUGUGAACUACAUCAACAACAACAACUACUACUACUACAACCGUCCUCGACAAAAUCAAGGUUGGAAUCAACAGAGGUCUAACUACUCAGGUAAUUAUCAAGGUAAUAAUUCUUACAAUAAUACUAAUAAUUUUCCACCUUCGAGAGAGUUAGUGUCUAAUCAAGGAAAGCUAAUGGAUAACCUAUCUAAGAAAUUGGCAUCUAAUGAUAAAAUGCUAGAAAAUAUAAAUAAUAGAAUGGAUAAUUUCUCUACAGCCAUCAAGAAUCAAAUUAGCUUUAAUAAAAUGAUUGAAUCUCAGUUAAAUCAAAUAGCUGCUGCUGUUUCUACUACUAACCCCGGUAUACCAUCACAACCGGAAGGAUUAGAAUCUGUAAAUCUUGUAGACAUGUUUGAUGUAGGUAAUAACUGGAGUCACCCCAUCACCGAAUUCACUACUGACCUUCUGCCGGUCAAGAGAGGCGAUCCAGGAUGCCCCGUCAUCCCGAUCUCCAUCGGCAUGGUGGACGUCCCAGAAGCACUCUGUGACUUUGGCUCCAGCGUCAACAUUAUACCCAGGGUACUCUAUGAAAAAUUCUUUACACAUCCUUUAUUAGAAAUAACCAUGUGGUUGUAGUUUGCAAAUCAGGCGAUAAGUUUUCCAAAAGGAAUAUUGAAGAACCUUUGUGUCCGAGUUGGUACCUUAUAUGUCCCAGCAGACUUCGUGGUGAUAGAGACCGGUAAUGAUGAGAGACCACCCAUCAUCUUAGGGAGGCCAUUCUUAAACACCUCGGGAGCUGUCAUCUAUGCUAGUGCUGCCAAGAACAGUUUCUACAUCAAAGGGAGAAAGGAGACGUUUUCCUUCAAGAACAAGACUACACAAAUCCCAGAUCAAUCUAGACGUGAAUCAAGGAAGAGGACCAACAGGAGGAACAGGAACAAGCAAGUGUGGACCGAGUCAGCUAAGAUGGUCACUGCAGUUCAUGGAGGUCAAGAUCAUCAACUUAAGUCACCGUUUUUGACCAAGAAGGACGACCCAGGAAUGCCAAACAUCUAUUGCUCCAUAAAUGGAUACAACUUCUACAAGACGACUUGUGACACCGGAUCGGGCGUCAACAUAAUGGCUGCAGUCACCUAUCGGCUCUUGUUUGGAACCAUGCCCUUAAAACCAACAUACAUUCAACUCCAGAUGGCAGAUCAGAUAUUUCUAGAGGUUAAAGGAACAGUAACUGAUGUCCCUGGCAAAAUAGACGAUCAUUUUGUCUACACAGACUUUUAGGUUAUUGACAUGGGAGAAGACGAGUAAGAUCCACCCAUCAUCCUUGGAAGACCGUUCCUCAGCACCGUUAAAGCAAUUAUAUACAUUAGAACCGGAGAAGUCCAUAUGCACUUCCCUUAGAGAAGGUACGCCGUUAUUUUACUGACCCUAACUACAUCUUUGAAGAAUCUAAGAAGGUCAGAAAACGACGCAACCACAACCAGAGGAGGCAAAUCAUCAAGGACGGAUGGGCACACUAUGAAGGAGAAGUUGUAAGGUCAGGAGACGUACAGUUUAAACAGAAUUAUCCAGAGGAGACCGUAGCACCGAGUCAGGUGUGGAAAGAGAAGAUAACUAUACAUGAAGAUGAGGCGCCGCCGGAUGUACCGACUACGCCACCUAACGAAUCCCAGGACAAUUGAGAAAACGGAGAGUCCUGUUCGGAGGACUUAAAAACACCGAACGCCUUGCCAAGAGGUAAACUUGGUAGUUAUCCUUUCCCUUUCAAUUAUUUCAAACAAUUUGCUUAGUUAAUCAUGUUCAUACUAUCCCAAAAAGAAAAUAAAAAUGUUAAAAAAUAGUAAGCCCCAUGUGAGAAUACGAGUGACAUAAAACCCAUAAGUACAUUCACUGUGGUGGCAAAAAAAUAAAAUAAAAAGUAUUUUCUGCUCUAUAAAAUGAAAAUAUAAAAAAUAUGGAGUAAUAUUUAUUGAGGAGACUCAACAUGAUAAAGGCUAGAUAUUUAUGCUAACACUUAAUCAGUUCCACAAAGCUUUGUUGUCUAUUUGAGCUUCACAGAAUUUAAGAAUCGAGAAGACUAGCAGACGGAGGACAUUCUAAUCGCUGUCAGAAUGCUGCUGACUUUCAAAUACACUUCUGCCACCUGCUAGCUACAUCAAGGGAAAUUACGUCAAAAUCCAGCUUGGGAGAGAGCACCCCCAUUUAUCCCAAUAAGUAUUUCUAUCUAUCUUUAUACUUUUACUAUAUUAAAAUAUAAAUAUACAUAAUUAUGGAAAACCAAAUAAAGAUUUUAUGCUUAUAUAUAUAUAUAUCUUUUGCUUAGUUUAAUAAAUAAAUAAAGUGGCUAUGCUAAUCUGAAUCUUAAUAAUAAAACUCUAGCAUGGAUAUGAUGAAUAGUUGCUCUGCCUAAUUUUAAAAUUUUGAAGUCCUCUCUCAAGUUUAGACAUAACUGUUAUAAUUUAAAGCUUGCUCUAAACCUAAACUUGUGGGAAGAAAACUUGAUCUGAAGUCUAAGUUGUUAACGGAUAUGAUAUGGGAAGGUUGAGCUGCUGUUUAUCUGUUCCUAGAGAUGCUAGAAUUCUGGAGAAUUUUAUCUUUGAAAAAUAUUUAUAAUGUUGCAUGAUGAGUUCUGUAUGAUGAGAGUUUAAAUUCCUACCACAGCCAUAUAUACAUGCUUGCUAGACUUUGAGCCACACAUUUACAAUUUACUGCUUAUGAACAUUGAGUGUGGUCAAGCUGUGUAGACCCUUAGGAGCUUAUCAUGUGGUUAAAUCAAGAUUCACUUGCACGUUCACUCACAUAUGCUGCUUCUACUCUAGAAGUACCAUCCACAUAUAUCCAUCCAUUUCCAUCUCGAGAACCACCCAAAAAUAUUCUACUCCUAAUCCGGGAGAGAAUAGCCAAAAAUAUUUCUGUUUUUCCAUGUGAAAUAAAUGCUCAAGUUGUCUUGUUACUACCACUUGCUAUAUUAUCUCAAGAGAUGAGUGCUCUAAAAAAAGAGAAGAAAAAAGAGAUAUGAGGAAAUAAAAAGGGGCAAGUGCCCGGAACCUCGAAAGAAAAGAAAAAGUGAGACGAGAGGUAAAAAUGGACAAGUGUCCGACAGUAGAAUUAGGGGUACAAGAUGCCCACCUGAGAGGAAAGAAAAAAAAGAAGAGCAUCUCAUUCUCCUCACAAAGUUUCAAAAAAGCAAGGAAGGUAUGUAUGCCCUCAAAGAGCAAAAGUAGAAUUAGACUUUCACCAUUGUUAUCACCAUCAUCACCAUACACCAUUCGUUCGCCACACAUGCACAUCUUGAUUUGACUUAUUGAUUUGUUUCUUUUGAUCCAUGGUUUGACUAUACAAUAAAUAAUGUAAGUAUGUAUACUUUAUCUCCCACCUAUGAGCUCCAGAUAUUAAAGCCUUAUUAGAGUAGGGUGAGAGAGAAGGCAAUGUUACUAUGCUUUAUACCACAAAUACCACAUACUAUAUAGUUUUGAGAGAAGGCAUAUACCAUCACUGCCUUGGUAAGGAUCCAGAAAUACCACAAAAGAGAGAUUUGAGAGAAUCAUACAAGGAAUCUCUGAGUUUUAUUUGAAAAUCUGCAAAAACUCCAGAGCUAUAGCUGAUCAAGAAUAAGAGACAUGGCACUUGACUAGACUGUUCUAUCUUUUAACUACUCAAGACAGAAGUGACGGUUACAAGUCCCAUGGUGAAAGGUAAAAUGAAUAAGUUUUAAGUCUUGACAGUUUACUCUAACUCAG